GAUGAACGCUGGCGGCGUGCCUAAUACAUGCAAGUCGAGCGAACAGACGAGGAGCUUGCUCCUCUGACGUUAGCGGCGGACGGGUGAGUAACACGUGGAUAACCUACCUAUAAGACGGGGAUAACUUCGGGAAACCGGAGCUAAUACCGGAUAAUAUAUUGAACCGCAGGGUUCAAUAGUGAAAGACGGUUUUGCCGUCACUUAUAGAUGGAUCCGCGUCGCAUUAGCUAGGUGGUAAGGUAACGGCUUACCAAGGCGACGAUGCGUAGCCGACCUGAGAGGGUGAUCGGCCACACUGGAACUGAGACACGGUCCAGACUCCUACGGGAGGCAGCAGUAGGGAAUCUUCCGCAAUGGGCGCAAGCUUGACGCAGCAACGCCGCGUGAGUGAUGAAGGUCUUCGGAUCGUAAAACUCUGUUAUUAGGGAAGAACAACUGUGUAAGUAACUAUGCACGUCUUGACGGUACCUAAUCAGAAAGCCACGGCUAACUACGUG
rnacentral:rRNA from 1 species